rnacentral:rRNA from 1 species
CCUACGGGAGGCAGCAGUGAGGAAUAUUGGUCAAUGGGCGCGAGCCUGAACCAGCCAAGUAGCGUGAAGGAUGACUGCCCUACGGGUUGUAAACUUCUUUUAUAAAGGAAUACAGUGAGGCACGUGUGCCUUUUUGUAUGUACUUUAUGUAUAAGGAUCGGCUAACUCCGUGCCAUCAGCCGCGGUAAUACGGAGGAUCCGAGCGUUAUCCGGAUAUAUUGGGUUUAAAGGGAGCGUAGAUGGGUUGUUAAGUCAGUUGUGAAAGUUUGGGGCUCAACCGUACAAUUGCACUUGAUACUGGCAGUCUUGAGUACAGUAGAGGUAGGCGGAAUUCGUGGUGUAGCGGUGAAAUGCUUAGAUAUCACGAAGAACUCCGAUGGCGAAGGCAGCUUACUAAACUGCCACUGACGUUGAUGGUCGAAAGUGUGGGUAGCAAACAGGAUUAGAUACCCGUGUAGUC